GGGCGAAUGGCGAAAUGGUAUACGCGUAGUCUUGAGGAGGCUAUGGGGCAACCCGUGGGAGUUCAAGUCUCCCUUCGCCCA
rnacentral:tRNA from 4 species